CUCAACAUGUUGAAGAAACUCCCAACUGAGAAAGUGAUGAUGAUGAUGAUGCCAAAGGGUCAUCACUGAAGGGUCGAAAAAGAAAGACUGUUUCUGACAAGGUUUCCCUACGCUCCAAGAGUCUCGAAACCUCGAAAAAACAAAAAAUAGACUCGACCAGCACUAAGACUGUUUCGACCACGAAAAAGCCAGAUAAAAGGAAGGGGAAGCUAGUGAUUCCUCUCCCCAAGAAAACUCAAAAGCCUCAUAUCGAGAAGCUUCUCAAGGAUGCUAUGAAAUCUGUCCCCAAGGAUGUCGAGAUAAUUCAACUUGACUCUUCUCGGGAAAUGUCUAAGGAUACUCUCGUUACCGGGGAAUCUCAACAGGUCCGAU